rnacentral:rRNA from 1 species
AACGAACGCUGGCGGCAUGCCUAACACAUGCAAGCCGAACGAACCCUUCGGGGUUAGUGGCGCACGGGUGCGUAACGCGUGGGAAUCUGCCCUUUGCUUCGGAAUAACAGUUAGAAAUGACUGCUAAUACCGGAUGAUGUCUUCGGACCAAAGAUUUAUCGGCAAGGGAUGAGCCCGCGUAGGAUUAGGUAGUUGGUGGGGUAAAGGCCUACCAAGCCGACGAUCCUUAGCUGGUCUGAGAGGAUGAUCAGCCACACUGGGACUGAGACACGGCCGAGACUCCUACGGGCGGCAGCAGUGGGGAAUAUUGGACAAUGGGCGCAAGCCUGAUCCAGCAAUGCCGCGUGAGUGAUGAAGGCCUUCGGGUCGUAAAGCUCUUUUAGGAGGGAAGAUAAUGACGGUACCUACAGAAGAAGCCCCGGCUAACUUCGUGCCAGCCGCCGCGGAAAGAC